CAACCUACCCUAAAGACGAGGAUAACCGUUGGAAACAGUGGCUAAGACUGGAUAGGAAGAUAAAAGGCAUCUUUUAUCUUUUAAAAGACCUAGUAAUAGGUAUGCUUUAGGAGGGGCUUGCGCCAUAUUAGUUAGUUGGUAGGGUAAUGGCCUACCAAGACGAUGAUGUGUAGCUGGACUGAGAGGUUGAACAGCCACAUUGGGACUGAGACACGGCCCAAACUCCUACGGGAGGCAGCAGUAGGGAAUUUUCGGCAAUGGAGGAAACUCUGACCGAGCAACGCCGCGUGAAUGACGAAGUACUUCGGUAUGUAAAGUUCUUUUAUCAAGGAAGAAAAGCAAAUGGCGAACCAUUUGUUUGCCGGUACUUGAUGAAUAAGCCCCGGCUAAUUAUGUGCCAGCAGCCGCGGUAAGACAUAAGGGGCAAGUGUUAUCCGGAAUUAUUGGGCGUAAAGGGUGCGUAGGCGGUCUAGUAAGUCAGUGGUGUAAUGGCAACGCUUAACGUUGUCCGGCUAUUGAAACUGCUAAACUUGAGUUAGAUAGAGGCGAGUGGAAUUCCAUGUGUAGCGGUAAAAUGCGUAAAUAUAUGGAGGAACACCAGAGGCGUAGGCGGCUCGCUGGGUCUUAACUGACGCUGUAGGCACGAAAGCGUGGGGAGCAAACAGGAUUAGAUACCCUGGUAGUCCACGCCGUAAACGAUGAGUACUAAGUGUCGGGUUAAACCGGUACUGAAGUUAACACAUUAAGUACUCCGCCUGAGUAGUACGUACGCAAGUAUGAAACUUAAAGGAAUUGACGGGACUCCGCACAAGCGGUGGAUCAUGUUGUUUAAUUCGAAGAUACCCGAAAAACCUUACCAGGUCUUGACAUGUUUUUGCAAAAUGAUAGUAAUAUCGUGGAGGUUACCAGAAACACAGGUGGUGCAUGGUUGUCGUCAGCUCGUGUCGUGAGAUGUUAGGUUAAGUCCUAAAACGAGCGAAACCCUUAUCGUUAGUUGCCAGCACGUUAUGGUGGGGACUUUAACGAGACUGCCAAUGAUAAAUUGGAGGAAGGUGAGGAUCACGUCAAAUCAGCAUGCCCCUUAUGACCUGGGCUACAAACGUGAUACAAUGGCUGUUACAAAGGGUAGCUGAAACGCAAGUUCUUGGCCAAUCCCCAAAAACAGUCCCAGUCCGGAUUGAAGUCUGCAACUCGACUUCAUGAAGUUGGAAUCGCUAGUAAUCGCGAAUCAGCAUGUCGCGGUGAAUACGUUCUCGGGGUUUGUACACACCGCCCGUCAAACCACGAAAGUUGGCAAUACCCCAAAACGGUAGCCUAACUCGUUUAUUCGAGAGGGCGCCGUCUAAGGUAGGGUCGAU
rnacentral:rRNA from 1 species